rnacentral:rRNA from 1 species
AACGAACGCUGGCGGCAUGCCUAACACAUGCAAGUCGAACGAGACCUUCGGGUCUAGUGGCGCACGGGUGCGUAACGCGUGGGAACCUGCCCUUAGGUUCGGAAUAACUCCCCGAAAGGGGUGCUAAUACCGGAUAAUGUCUUCGGACCAAAGAUUUAUCGCCUUUGGAUGGGCCCGCGUUGGAUUAGCUAGUUGGUAGGGUAAAAGCCUACCAAGGCGACGAUCCAUAGCUGGUCUGAGAGGAUGAUCAGCCACACUGGGACUGAGACACGGCCCAGACUCCUACGGGAGGCAGCAGUGGGGAAUAUGGGACAAUGGGCGAAAGCCUGAUCCAGCAAUGCCGCGUGAGUGAUGAAGGCCCUAGGGUUGUAAAGCUCUUUUACCCGGGAUGAUAAUGACAGUACCGGGGAAUAAGCUCCGGCUAACUCCGUG